rnacentral:hammerhead_ribozyme from 1 species
AUUCAGCUGACGAGUUCCAAAUAGGAGGAAACGGCAUCCUGGAU